UGGGUGGUCGAUGUUUCUCCUCGUCAAGGCGGCGUGGCGGCGUGGAGGAAGGCGCCCAGCACGUGUCGCCCCAUUGCCUGAACAAUGUUGUCUACAGAGGAGAAGGGGUCUAUUGGGAAGGGAUUUGGUUUGCACCGGGCUUGUCCGUCCGAGCCAACCAAGCGGUCGCCGCCACCGGCCCCGGGUUUGCUGCGGCGGGGCCGGUGGGUGCGAGAGUGUGCGUCUUGUCCGUCCGAGCGGUCGCCGCCGCCGCUGCUGGCUGGUUGUUGCCUUGUUGGUCAGAGGAAGGAGCGUUCUCCAUCUGGACCAACAUGGUGUGUGCAGCGACGCGGCAUGGCAGCUCUGUACAGAGGGGCAGACAAUUUGGGGACGGCUUGGAGAGGUCAGUGGAAGCAAUUUGGGGGCAUUGUGGAUACGGCACGCCAUUCGUUGCUGUCAUUGGAGGAGGUACGCCACUGUGAGUGGUGCUGCAGUCAGAUGAGGAGCGCAUCUUCAUUUGUCACUUCCAUUGGAGGAGCCCGGCCGCCGCUUGCUAUCGCCACAUGCUGCUUGUGUGCGGUGCUGACCACGACUGGUUCGUGUACCUGCCGACGGAGCAGGCUCAGUGGUGUCACUUUGAAGCGUAGUUAUGCUGUGGCAGCCAUCUUCAGCGACAUGCUUUGGUUCAGGGCCGCGCUUCUUCGGCUUCGCUCGGUGGCUAUAUUCCCUAACUCCUUCUGGUGGAUCUGCUCAUAACAAUUUUGUUGAAACACUCGUGAGCAGAUAUUUAGGCCAUCAAUGUCGACCAUUAUAUCAGAGAAUUUAAAGGUGGCGCCUGCUGCAUCAACUGACAUUGUUGACAUCAUAAAAAAAUGCUUGAACUAAAAGUAACUUCAACAGUUGUUGCAGUUGAAGAGGAGCAUGGGGGAAUAUGAUGUGACAUGAUGGGCGCACAAAAUCAACCAACUGAUCAAUAUCUGCUACCAUGCCCUUGCUCAGGCUGGAGCCUCAUUGGAAGGGAACACCUACUGAACAAAAUAACUGGUGGCUGACAUUGACAAUCUUCUUUGCCCUUUGCUGAUAAAGAUUCUUUGUAGAAUAUAUUUUGCCCUCAAAGGAACAUCAAUGAAACAUAGAACACGCUAAGGUGGGGAGAAGAAAAGAUUGUUUGGGAACAAAAGAUGGUUGGUAGCUUCUUCAUUGGCUUCAAAAGUGUUUCGAAGAAAAGGAAUAUCAAAUGGAGUCCAAAUGGAAUGAGAUCUUCGAAAGAGUUAUUUUUGGAACGGAAGCAACCCAGGAGACUUGGAGUAGACGCCAGGGAAGCUUCGAGGAAGCCACGAGGCAGGGAGGCCCGCCCUACCCCUGGGCGCGCCCCCACCCUCAUGGGCCCCACAUGGCUCCUCUGACCGACUUAUUUCGCCUAUAUAUGUCCAUAUACCCUAAAAACAUCAAAGAGCAGAAUACAUCGGAAGUUCCGUCGCUAGAAGCCUCCGUAGCCACCGAAAACCAAUCUAGACCCGGUCCGGCACCCUGCUGGAGGGGGGGAAUCCCUCUCCGGUGGCCAUCUUCAUCAUCCCGGCGCACUCCAUGACGAGGAGGGAGUA